rnacentral:lncRNA from 1 species
CCUUUUUUUCUAUGUACAAUGUCCUAAAGUUCCAAUAAUCUUUUUUUUAUUUUUCACUAAUUUUCGAAAGAGUUACCUCAUAAGAAAAUCGUUUUGGAUUUUGGAAUUAAUACCAUAAAGAAAACCUUUUAAGGAAGUACUGAACGAAAAUUCUCUUCUUUUGAAUUUCUUGUCCUAAUAUACUAAUGGAAGUAUAGAAAUAAAUUUUUUAAAUUUCUGGAUAUGAAUUUCCUAAUAUAAAACCACCUCAAACAUUCUUUUCUUUUCUUUCCCUUGAUUUCUAGGAGUAAUAUUUCUAAUGAAAACUUCUAACGGAAAUAUAAAUACAUAAAAUAUAUUUUUUAGAUUUUUGAGUUACAAUACAUCUUUCAAAUACAAAAUAAAAAGUCCAAUAACUAAAACUUGACAUUACUGUACCAAACUAGAAAGUAAAGUAGGACAUAAAAAAACAUACUAAAAAAAUGACAAUAAAAAUAAAAAUGAAUCUCCUUAAGUAACUCUUGAAUGUAGUGGUCAUGGGGUAUCUGUCAUGCUCAAACUGCGGUAAGUAGAUCCACAACUAUAUGAGAAAAUUUAAACCAAUACUAUGUGAGACAAUAGCAUUCACUAUUAGGUACAUGGAAGACAUGGUUGCAAUUAUUGCAAUUAUUUUUGUAAAAUGACUUAUUUAGUCAAAAGGUGGCUAGAAGUGCGAAAUUUGGCUAAGCCCCCGCAAAGCCAAGAACCUAAGAUUUACUAGAAAGAGCGGACCCUAUGUGGGUUGCUUAUGUAUCACGCCCUGAAAGAUGAGAAUCAGGUUUGUGUAGUUCGGGCAAAUUGGAUAAAGGCAAGAAUUAAAGAAACAACUAAUUGUUACAGAAAAUAUUUACUUUUGUCUUCUUUUUUUGAAAAAUG